UACGGAGGAUGCGAGCGUUAUCCGGAUUUAUUGGGUUCAAAGGGUGCGCAGGCGGAUUUUUAAGUCAGCGGUCAAAUCGUGGGGCUCAACCCCAUCCAGCCGUUGAAACUGGGGAUCUAGAGUGUGCGAGAGGUAUGCGGAAUGCGUGGUGUAGCGGUGAAAUGCAUAGAUAUCACGCAGAACCCCGAUUGCGAAGGCAGCAUACCGGUGCACAACUGACGCUCAGGCACGAAAGCGUGGGUAUCGAACAGG
rnacentral:rRNA from 1 species